rnacentral:rRNA from 1 species
GUGGGGAAUAUUGGACAAUGGGGGAAACCCUGAUCCAGCAACGCCGCGUGGAGGAUGAAGGUCUUCGGAUUGUAAACUCCUGUUAGGGGGGACGAAGGGAUGUCGGCAAACAGCCGGCAAACUUGACGGUACCCCCAGAGGAAGCCCCGGCUAACUCUGUGCCAGCAGCCGCGGUAAUACAGAGGGGGCAAGCGUUAUUCGGAAUUAUUGGGCGUAAAGGGCGCGUAGGCGGCCUUGUAAGUCUUGGGUGAAAUCCCUCAGCUCAACUGAGGAACUGCCUCGGAAACUGCAAGGCUUGAGGCCGGGAGAGGGUAGUGGAAUUCCCAGUGUAGCGGUGAAAUGCGUAGAUAUUGGGAGGAACACCGGUGGCGAAGGCGGCUACCUGGACCGGUUCUGACGCUGAUGCGCGAAAGCGUGGGUAGCAAACAGGAUUAGAAACCCUUGUAGUCC